CCUACGGGAGGCAGCAGUGGGGAAUAUUGGACAAUGGGCGAAAGCCUGAUCCAGCCAUGCCGCGUGUGUGAAGAAGGCCUUCGGGUUGUAAAGCACUUUCAGUGGGGAAGAAAGCCUUGGGGCUAAUACCCUCGAGGAAGGACAUCACCCACAGAAGAAGCACCGGCUAACUCCGUGCCAGCAGCCGCGGUAAUACGAGGGUGCGAGCGUUAAUCGGAAUUACUGGGCGUAAAGCGCGCGUAGGCGGUCUGAUAAGCCGGUUGUGAAAGCCCCGGGCUCAACCUGGGAACGGCAUCCGGAACUGUCAGGCUAGAGUGCAGGAGAGGAAGGUAGAAUUCCCGGUGUAGCGGUGAAAUGCGUAGAGAUCGGGAGGAAUACCAGUGGCGAAGGCGGCCUUCUGGACUGACACUGACGCUGAGGUGCGAAAGCGUGGGUAGCAAACAGGAUUAGAUACCCCAGUAGUC
rnacentral:rRNA from 1 species